UACGUAGGGUGCGAGCGUUGUCCGGAAUUAUUGGGCGUAAAGAGCUUGUAGGCGGUCUGUCGCGUCUGCUGUGAAAAUCCGGGGCUCAACCCCGGACUUGCAGUGGGUACGGGCAGACUAGAGUGUGGUAGGGGAGACUGGAAUUCCUGGUGUAGCGGUGAAAUGCGCAGAUAUCAGGAGGGAACACCGGUGGGCCGAAGGCGGGU
rnacentral:rRNA from 1 species